rnacentral:rRNA from 1 species
CCUACGGGAGGCAGCAGUGGGGAAUAUUGCUCAAUGGGGGGAACCCUGAAGCAGCGAAGCCGCGUGAGGGAAGAAGGAUUUCGGUUUGUUAAGCCCUUUUUGCAGGGAAGAAAAUGACGGUACCUGACGAAGAAGCACCGGCUAACUACGUGCCAGCAGCCGCGGUCAUACGUAGGGGGCAAGCGUUACUCGGAAUUACUGGGGGUAAAGGGAGCGUAGGCGGGUAUGCAAGUCUGAUGUGAAAGCCUAUGGCUUAACCAUGGAACUGCCUUGGAAACUGUUGUUCUGGAGUGGAGGAGAGGUAGGCGGAAUGCCUGGUGUAGCGGUGAAAUGCGUAGAUAUCAAGAGGAACACCGAUUGCGAAGGCGGCUUGCUGGACUGUAACUGACGUUGAUGCUCGAAAGCGUGGGGAGCAAACAGGAUUAGAUACCCGAGUAGUC